rnacentral:misc_RNA from 1 species
AUUAUAGUUCAUUUACAUUCUGGUAAUUAAUGUCUUGUUUUUGGUGUAUCUCGUUGGAUUAGUUAGAAUUCCAAGACCUCGUUUUAUCAGAUAGAGUUUGGGAUGAGAGUAAAUUUGGUCCAACUCUAGAUUGGGUUUAAUAGUAACAUGAAUUAGCAUCUUUUGAGUUUUAUAGUUGUUCAUUUAGCAAAACAUUGGUUAAACUGCAUGCAUUUUGUUCAAAGUCAGAGAUGAAAAUCUAAAGUUCUGAUUUCAGAAUUUAAGCUGUUGUAUCUUCUUACUUGAGACAUGUUUACUGGGGUUAGCAUAGUUGGUGCAAUUUUGGUGUUCAUUCAGGGUGGCCAUGGAUUGGAGCCAGCAGGGGCGUAACUAGAAAUUUG